rnacentral:tRNA from 1 species
GCCGGUGUGGUGGAAUUGGUAGACACGUCGGAUUCAAAAUCCGAUGCCCUUAAAAGCGUGACGGUUCGAGUCCGUCCACCGGUACCA